rnacentral:lncRNA from 7 species
ACAGUAAUGGUUUCAGGCACUAAGCUGUAAUGGAUUCAAGCUUCAAGCAAACCUGUCCUCUCUCCUUCUCAUGUCUGGAGAAAUAGGAAGACAUGCUCUUGGGAGAGUAGCAGCAUUUACAGUUGGUCUGCAAACAGCUGUUUUCCAUGCAUACACUGGCAGCACAGGAAGGUCAAGAAGGUGAAUGGGGGAUGGCUGGAAGGGGAAGGUAGACAGCGAAGUGAAGGAUGGCUGGUUGUGGUGGCGAGUCAGAAAAGGUUAUGGCUUUCUGAUAUGAACCCAGCUCAGUAGUGACUCAAAUUUAUUGCUAUGGGACAAUAAUGGAAGGAGAACAAAUUGAUCCCAUGAAUAUAUUUAAGCUGAUACAUAGGAGGCAUUUUCUAGCCAUCUGGAAUAGCGGUCGGACUAUAGAAGGUUGUGAACCAGUCUUCAGAAGAACAGUGGAAUGAAAUGGCUGAAAGUUUUUGAAGACAAAGCUGGAUAAACUUCUGCAUGAGGUUGUUCUGGAUGAUUGUCUUCUACAGCAUAGGGCUGAAAUACAAAAAAACUGAUGCCGUUGUAUGCAGUCCUUUGUGCAAUUUGAGGGAAUGCAAUGUCAGUCCAUAAGGAUGAACAUCUGUGUUAUGGAAUGAGGAUUGUGAAGGUAGAGAACAAGAACAGGAUGGACAUGAGUCAUUUCUCACCAAGCAGAAGCGAGUUAUUGCCUACUGCAGGCUGGCUCUAUUGCACACAACAAGAAGCAUCCACUGACAUUGGUGCAAACAGGCAGCAAAUCUUAGCAGAAAGUUGGCUCUUAAGAAUAUAUUUAGAUAUUAUUUUGCAACUGCUUUCUAUUGCUUGGACUAUUGCAAAUGACAACUGGAUUAACAUUAGCAGAGCAAGCAGAAGUCUGUGUUAUCACUUUAGCUAACACUGUAAGAAAAACUAUUUCCCAAGGUCAUGGCACCUAGCACUUUUUCCCAGUGUCAAUACUUCUGUGCCUGUGAAAGUUUUCAAAGGCAGUCUUGAUAGAGAAAUGACAGAACAUGGGUGCUUUAUCUGCAUCUUCUCCUGAAAAGACAUUUGAAACUAAAAAAAAAAUAAAUGCAAUUUGCUGGCCUGGUGAGAGACUGGAGGACUGUACUGAAUUCAAUGGAAAAAUUGUGACAAUUGGCAUUUACCACUGGUCCACCCCAAGGUGAAUACUUCUUGCUUAUUGGUUUUGCUGCAUGAAUCCUGCAUCAAAACGGAUUUAGCAAGAGGACAAAGAAAAUCAUUGAGAUUUGAUCCACCAGCAGCUGCUGAAUCUUGCCCUGAAUACAACUUUUCUGCUCAGGAACUCUUAACCUGUCAGUUAGUGAAAUUUCGAGUACAGGCUGGCAGUAAGAUGCUUAGCAGUCAUGCUUGUUGUAAAGCUGAAUGUUAUUUAUUCAGAAAGCUUGAUAUUUGAUUCAGAAAUCUGCUAGAUAAUUAAAUGUGCUUAAAAUAUUGUGGGUUGUUGGUAAUAUUAAGAAUGUCUUAGAAAUUGAAGUUGUAAAAUGCUACUGAAUCAUGUGGUUUCCUGACCUGCUUAUCACAGUCCAUUACUUCUAAUAAGGAACUUCGAAAGUUAGUGAUAGGUCAAAAUGUUUUUGUUCAUUCUCCUCCAGUUUGAUGUUUGAGGCCCCCUAGGUGGUAGAAAAAAGAUUGCGUAAUAUUUGCUCAUGCCCUAGGUUUACUUAUGUUGAUUAUCAUCUGCUUACAUUUUCUCCAGUUUCUAGAACCCUUAAUCUUAGUGCAGAACUGGGAGUAAAAAUUCAAGGUGUCCUGUGUGAGAGCUCAUCGGCUGCUCAGAACCACAUUCCAGAAAUGACAAAAGCUGUCAGUCUUCCAGAUGCAUACCCUUUUGAUUUGGUGACAGUAAUAAUUCCACCCCUACGUCUUUGGUAAUGCAUUAGCAUUAACUGUAAUUUUUGCCUUUAGACAAUCUCUACAGUACAGCAUGACAGUUCCUACCCUGUAAUUGUAAGAUCCUCAUUAAUCAAAAAGAAUAUUAUGACAUUGUGAGCUCACAAGAAAGACAAUUCAUGACUGACAUAAUAAAGGCCUAAAUUGUGCUGCUUUGAUG